ACGCUCGACACCUAGGCAGCAGUGGGGAAUAUUGCACAAUGGGGGAAACCCUGAUGCAGCGACGCCGCGUGGAGGAAGAAGGUCUUCGGAUUGUAAACUCCUGUUGUUGGGGAAAAAGAGGAUGGUACCCAACAAGGAAGUGACGGCUAACUACGUGCAAGCAGCCGCGGUAAUCUGAGCGGGCUGGCAAGGC
rnacentral:rRNA from 1 species